CCCUUAGAUGUUCUGGGCCGCACGCGCGCUACACUGACUGGUGCAACAAGUGUCGCUCCUUGGCCGAUAGGCCUGGGCAAUCUUUGAACGCCAGUCGUGAUGGGGAUAGAUUCUUGCAAUUUUUGAUCUUCAACGAGGAAUUCCUAGUAAACGCGAGUCAUCAACUCGCAUUGAUUACGUCCCUGCCCUUUGUACACACCGCCCGUCGCUACUACCGAUUGAACGUUUUAGUGAGGUAUUUGGACUGGACCUUCGGAGGUUCGCGCCUCCGUUGCUGUUCGGGAAGACUCCCAAACUUGAGCGUUUAGAGGAAGUAAAAGUCGUAACA
rnacentral:rRNA from 1 species